rnacentral:rRNA from 1 species
UACGUAGGCAGCGAGCGUUGUUCGGAGUUACUGGGCGUAAAGGGCUCGUAGGCGGUCUGUUGCGUCGGGAGUGAAAACUUACAGCUUAACUGUGAGCGUGCUUUCGAUACGGGCAGACUUGAGGCAUUCAGGGGAGAACGGAAUUCCUGGUGUAGCGGUGAAAUGCGCAGAUAUCAGGAGGAACACCGGUGGCGAAGGCGGUUCUCUGGGAAUGUCCUGACGCUGAGGAGCGAAAGUGUGGGGAGCGAACAGG